UACGUAGGGUGCAAGCGUUGUCCGGAAUUAUUGGGCGUAAAGAGCUCGUAGGCGGUUUGUCGCGUCUGCUGUGAAAACCCGAGGCUCAACCUCGGGCCUGCAGUGGGUACGGGCAGACUAGAGUGCGGUAGGGGAGAUUGGAAUUCCUGGUGUAGCGGUGAAAUGCGCAGAUAUCAGGAGGAACACCAGUGGCGAAGGCGGUUCUCUGGGCCUUACCUGACGCUGAGGAGCGAAAGCGUGGGGAGCAAACAGG
rnacentral:rRNA from 1 species